AUUCGCGUUUCGAUUGUCGGCGUUGAGCGGUUGCGUGACUGACGGGGUACGCUUCGUUAGCACCUUCAGUUCUUCGAACCGACUUCGAACGCGUGCACUUUUCCCCUAGUAGGACGUCGCGAUCCGUUGGGUGUCGGUCUAAGGCCUGCGGUGGAGCUCGCGUGGACGUUUCGGCGUUCCGCACGAACCCGCAGUGUCCCGAUCGACUCGCUCGACGGUAUAAAGAUGGCGCGGGGCCGCUACACAGUUAGCGUUCGGCCUACGGCAAGCACGUACGGUGUUUGAUGGCGAUCAGACCUAGUCGGAUCCCGUCCCCGGACGACUGUUGGCACGUAGUGUUCUCGAACAGACCUCGUUGAAACGCCGAUCUGCGACGCUAUUGCUUUGGGUACUUUCAGGACCCGUCUUGAAACACGGACCAAGGAGUCUAGCAUGUACGCGAGUCAUUGGGACAUAACUAAACCUAAAGGCGUAAUGAAAGUAAAGAUUCGUCUUGCACGAAUCGAGGGAGGAUGAGCGGUUUGCCCUUAAAGUGGCCGCUCCGCACUCCCGGGGCGUCUCAUUCUCAUUGCGAGAAGAGGCGCACCAAGAGC
rnacentral:rRNA from 1 species